rnacentral:rRNA from 1 species
GACGAACGCUGGCGGCGUGCCUAAUACAUGCAAGUCGAACGCAGUGGGGACGGGUGAGUAACACGUGGGUAACCUCCCAUCAGAGGGGAUAACACUUGGAAACAGGUGCUAAACCGAUACUGAUGGAUGGACCCGCGGUGCAUUAGCUAGUUGGUGAGGUAACGGCUCACCAAGGCCACGAUGCAUAGCCGUCCUGAGAGGUUGAUCGUCAACACGGGGCCUGAGACACGGCCAAGACGCCUACGGGAGGCAGCAGUAGGGAAUUUUGGGAAAGGGGCGAAAGUCUGACGGAGCAACGCGGGGUGUAUGAAGAAGGUUUUAGGAUCGUAAAGCUCUUUUGUUAGAGAAGCGGUACCUAACCAAAAAGCCACGGCUAACUACGUGCCAGCAGCCGCGGUAAUUC